CCUUUGUACACACCGCCCGUCGCUACUACCGAUUGGAUGUUUUAGUGAGGCCUUGGGACUGGCUCAGAGAGGUCGGCAACGACCACUCAGAGCCGGAAACUUGGUCAAACUUGGUCAUUUAGAGG
rnacentral:rRNA from 1 species